rnacentral:lncRNA from 1 species
GGGCCCGCGCUGCGUCCAGCUUCCCAGCUGCGUCGAGCUCCCGGCGCCCAGGGGGAACCGCGUUGAGAACACGUCGUGUCUCGCUUCCGUGUGGGCUUCUACGAGGAUUUCCUUGCAACUAAACCCUCUCGGUGUCUGCUACCGGCAGCACCUCCGGGAAACAGAGUGGGGAACGGAGGCGCUGACAGGUCAGGUUUUCAGUGUGUGAGGUGCUCGGUGGGUGACGCGAGCAGUGACUACAGGGGUCCCCCCUUUCCGCUGCCCCCUCCGCAUCAGCUCUGCUGGCUCUGCACAGAGUCUGGGGUCUGUUUCCCCCAGGUUCUCGCAGGCUUUUCUGUAACACUGCUCCUCCCCGACCCACCCACCUCAGUCCCUCCCCCGUAGCUGUGUGGCCUUGGGCAAGUCACUGUGCCUCUCUGAUUCUCUCUGUGCUGGGCUUAUUGCCCUCUCAGCGCAAACGCCAGCUUGGCUUCCUUGGCAACCGGAUCCCAAGUGGCCCGGCAUCUGCCAGCACUCUUGGCUAGAGGUCCCAAGGAAGCAGCCUCGGGGUUGUCGCUCCACUCGUCUUGGGGGCUUCCUCCUGUGCGGAGCCCUGGUGGCGCCUUGCCAGAGCCUGCAGCCCUGCUUACGGAAUCGCCUACCUGAUCCUCCCCACCAGCUUGGCUGCUGGCCACUCCCAUCUCAGACCUGCUUCAGAGACUCGUCCUCCGGCCCUGGAGCUGCACAGCACAGCCAGGGUGCCUGGAAGCUGACCUCUGCAUCCCUGGGCAGCCCCAGCCUGUGCAUCGCAGCUGGAGAACCCAGCUCCUUGCCUUAAGGGGCACAAACUCAGGUUUAAAACUCCUACCAGACCCUCGGGUCAUGCUUCUCUGGCUGUCGUGGUGGUUUGAGGCUCGUUGCCGGGUCAACUGCUCAGGACGUCACCUGUUGGGGUGACGGCCCCCCAGCUCCUGCUUGUUGACAACAGUUAGUUUGGGACCUUCACACGUGCGAGUCAGUUCGGCUGGACCUGCCGCCCCCCCGUCACCACGGCCUGAGUGUCUGAUGCGCCUUCUGUGGCUUUUGGCGGUGAGUCUGGUGACAACCCGAUUUUACUGGAGUUCCCGUUGCAGCUCAGUGGGUUAAGAACUCAGCUAGUAUCCAUGAGGAUGUGGGUUCGAUCCGGCCUCGCUCAGUAGGUUAAGGAUCCAGUGUUGCUGUGGCUGUGGUGUAGCUCGAAGAUGUGGCUCCAAUUUGACCCCUAGACUGGGAACCUCCAUAUGCUGCAGGUGUGGUCCUAAAAAGACAAAAAAAAAAGAAUGGAAAAGAGUCAGGGCUGAAUCACACAGGGGCUUCCUGGCUUCUGCUGGUCAGAGAUGGGAUUCGAAAGGCUUUGGGCUGGAAACCCAGCAACACGAUCCCUGGAUUAAGUGUCUCAGGUUAGACUGAGGGUGUGGCCUUCCCAGCGCGGUUCUCCAUGGAUUCCGCCAGUGAGUGGAGACUCAGCCAGUGCGCAAAGGCCCAGACGCGGUAAAGCCAAAGCAUGUAGGUGAGAGUUGUUUCCUGGGUGCAGUAACUGGCACAGAAACCUGACCGAGGCUGCCGGGUUGCCCAAGGGAGCGCCGUGCAGCGGGCGCCUGUGACCGGCCCCGAGCCCUCAGCGGGGAUGAGAAGCCUUGGGGCCUUCGCGCUUCCUGGAGUCAGGGGGCGACACUCCAGAUACGGCCAGGACCGGAAAGGACAUGGGAAGAAAGAAGAAGGCUCCAGAAGGCAGAGGGAGGCCCGAGGACCCUGGACCUGGAGAGAGUUCAGGGCCUCAUUCAAGAAGCUUCUUGCGGAGUUCCGGUCAUGGCACAGUGGAAACGAAUCCGACUAGGAACCAUGAGGUUGAGGGUUGGAUCCCUCACCUUGCUCGGUGGGUGAAGGAUCCAGCGUUGCCAUGAGCUGUGGUGUAGGCCGGCAGCUGUAGCCUGGGAACCCCUAGCCUGGGAACUUCCAUAUGCUGUGCAGGUGCAGCCCUAAAAAGCAAAACAAAAGAGAAGCUUCUUUUUCUGAAGGCUGCACAAAGUGGCUUUGUGUUUGGAAGUGUCUUGAGCGCCCCAGUGGGAGCGUCUCGUGUGUCCAUGGAGGCGGGUAGGUGAGGGCUCUGGACGGAGGAGCCGCCCAGACAGUGGCCACUGCACGCCUCCCGGAGACCCCACGGUCCGAGCCGGAGCCCGGGCCCGGCUUCCCUGCUAGGUGUUUGCAGGACUGCAGAGGGCACGAGCAUCCCCUCGGGGCCCGGGUUUCCGACACUUGCUGCUAGGUUGGGUCAUGUCCAGCUGAUGCAGGUGAGACCUGGGCGCCCAUCCUCGUCCCUGAAAAGACUGUGGAGGCCGCACUGAGGCGGCGGAGCCUCGGGAUGGGAGCCGUGCGGGGCCACCAAGCAGACUGUCCUGGACCAGGACGUGACUUUGAGCAGCUCGGUUUGGUCACCGCUGCAUGUCAGUCUGUCCUGACCCACACGGGUGUGUACUAGUUGUUGUGGUUUUUUUGCACAGUCGAGGCCCUACCAACCGUGUUAUUUUUCAAUGUUAACAAUCAGCUUUAUUGAGGCAUAUUUUAUAGAUAAUAAAUCUGCAGUUUCUUUUCU